GCCAGCCCCCGCCGACAGGUGCAGGUCCCGGCUCCUCGGGCCGGCCCCACCCUCCCGGGAGCCGGCUCCCGACCCCGGUCCGUCCCCCUAAACCCCCGCCUCCUCCCCGCGCCCCCCAGCCCUUCCCUCCAGCCCGGCCCGGUGCGGCCCCAUUUUCUCCGGGCGUGGACCCCGUUUCCCUCCCCAAGGCACCAGGCGCAUCCCGCCCCCGCCCCGGAGGGAAAAUGCACGUGAACAAUGCGAAUCGGGGGAGGCUGGAACGACAGAAAAAGGCAAGAGAGAAGCAAAGAGGUGGGGCCGUAAGCUGAAGAGAGGGCCAAAUCUGUCUACAUUCCUACGUUUUGAAAUGAAAAGGCAAGGAUCUUUCUUCAGGGACACUUACAGCCACUACCAUGGGUCUUUGAUGCUGUCCUGAGGCACUGAUGACUGGUGAGUCUCAGUUCCUAUGUAUCAAUGCCGGUGUUUCGUAUCAAAGUCUCUAUCUCAGGGUGACAGCAGGUGACUCAGGCCGCCCCCACGUGUAGUCAGCUUCGUGGCAGCCCUUAGUGGCUCACAGGAGGCCGUGUUUGCUGAAGGCGCCAGAAGUAGGCCUGCAGAUCCUGGAGAAAUUGGGGAACGUGCUGCGGUAGGUCAUUUGGUGACGGUGUACUUGGGAACAGCACGGGCAUCUGGGUGGAAAUUAGAAGAGGCUGAGGCAGGGCAGUGAUGGAGGUGGGUAUUCUUUUUAAUGGGAGUAAUUGACUUAAUCCUCAGGGAACAAAGACAAAGAAUGGAACUUGGGGGUUAGGUUCCUGACACACAGGUGCAGACCCAGAGCUAAGUCACGGAGGGGCAGGGGUGUUGGCAGUGUGCAGAUUGUAUUUCCAUGGAGUAGGAGGUGGCCGCCUCCUCCGUGCGUUUGCCCUCAGAAGAGAGGCGGCUCCUGUCAGGGCCGCAAUUUAUACAGGCUGACGCGUUCCACAGCAGAACUUCUCUGGCUUCCUUGGUGGUGGUGGAGGCCAAAAGGCCCCAUUUGACCAAUCUCUGAUCUCCUGGACAUUGAGGAAGAUAAACCCUUUUAGACCAGCAUGGGUCAUUGCUGGUUUGACUCUCAGAUGACGUUUGAAACUUCGAAGAACUUUACGACUCUACGUAAGGUGAGCUCACUCCAACGUAGUGAGACAAGGAAGCUUGGUAGCUGGGGAGUGUUAGCGCCCUCCCCACCCCCCACCCCCCACCCAUGGUGCAGCCUCCCAGUAUGGGGCAAAGUCUCCUGCAUGGGCAGGUCAGCAUCACCGAAUCCACAUUUUAAGGAUCCUGUGGAUCUAUUCAGCAGAAGAGAGUACCCAAACCACAUUAAGAUAUCAAGGCCAUGCAUCUGCCCUGUCUUCUCUUUGAGAAGCAGCUCUGUGGGAAAGGCUGAAAGAGAAUCCCUUCAGAGUUGGGGGUUCCCACCAAACAUUCCGAUGAGAAAGGCCAGGCCAGAGGUUCUAGGCCAGUGGGAUCCUACCUCCCUCAUAGAAGGGAAGGUUUCGUCCAGAGGGCCCAGAACGAUGUCAGGGCUCUACUACAGCUUCCAAGUCAGGCCCCAAGUUUAUAUUUAAGGGCCUCGGGGGUAUCAUUCUCAUCAUGUCCAGGUCACAGCCAGCAGCGGACCAGGCAGGAUGCCAGAACCAAGGAAGCAGGCCUGGAAUUUGGGCAAGCAUGCGUCAGGGGCCGGGUAAGCAAUAAAAAAAUGGAGUUUAUCAAUCGUAAGAGAGCCAGACCAGACGGGACCUUCAGACAUCAAGCAAGUGCUCAGCACUCCCACAUCCCAGAACCACUGACAGAAAGGGAAGAAUCAGGUAGGUAACUCCAGACAGUCACUUCCUCCAGCCUACGUGCCAAUGUGGUGCCCCUCCCUCCGGGAGAAUCAGUGAGAAUUGGGAACUGGAAGGUUCUGCUCUGAGCAUCACAUCGUCGAUAGCUGUCUGGCCAGUAUGCACUAACUCAGGGGAGAGGAGCAGCCCUGUCACAUCAUGCUUGUGGAGCCCUCUCAUCUGCCCCCUGCUGGCACCCCCUUAAUGCCCAGAUCCCCCAGGCGAGAUGCUUUCCUGUGCUUACUCCCCUGGUCUUGGCUCUGAAUUACGAGCCUUGUGGCUGACGCUCCAUUACUACCUGCCAGCUGACAGUUGACAGCCCCCCUUUCGGAUUCCUGAAUAUACCCCCAUUCUGGGUUCCCAACCCCCUUGCCUUCCCUCGCUCUUGGGAUGUCCUGCAAUCUCAGCAUGAAUUCCCCUUGCAGAUGCUUUCUUGGUUUUGCUGCAAUGUCUAACUGCCUGGAAUCUUGUCUUCUUUCCUGCAACUGGUCCU